rnacentral:tRNA from 1 species
AAGGCUUUAAGUUAAUUAAAACUAAUAGCCUUCAAAGCUAUAAAUAUAAGUUUAAAUCUUUUAAGCCUUA